UUCCCCUAGUAACGGCGAGUGAAGCGGGAACAGCUCAAAUUUGAAAUCUGGCCUUCGGGUCCGAGUUGUAAUUUGCAGAGGAUGCUUUUGGUGCGGUGCCUUCCGAGUUCCCUGGAACGGGACGCCUUAGAGGGUGAGAGCCCCGUACGGUUGGCCACCAAGCCUGUGUAAAGCUCCUUCGACGAGUCGAGUAGUUUGGGAAUGCUGCUCAAAAUGGGAGGUAUAUUUCUUCUAAAGCUAAAUACUGGCCAGAGACCGAUAGCGCACAAGUAGAGUGAUCGAAAGAUGAAAAGCACUUUGAAAAGAGGGUUAAAUAGCACGUGAAAUUGUUGAAAGGGAAGGAUUUAUGACCAGACUUUUUUUAGGGGGAUCAUCCGGCGUUCUCGCCGGUGCACUUCCCCUAAUUGAGGCCAGCAUCGGUUUCUGCCGGGGGAUAAAAGCUUCGGGAAUGUGGCUCCUUCGGGAGUGUUAUAACCCGUUGCAUAAUACCCUGGCGGGGACCGAGGUUCGCGCAUCUGCAAGGAUGCUGGCGUAAUGGUUAUUAAUCACCCG
rnacentral:rRNA from 1 species